GACGAACGCUGGCGGCGUGCUUAACACAUGCAAGUCGAACGGAAAGGCCCUGCUUUUGUGGGGUGCUCGAGUGGCGAACGGGUGAGUAACACGUGAGUAACCUGCCCUUGACUUUGGGAUAACUUCAGGAAACUGGGGCUAAUACCGGAUAGGAGCUCCUGCUGCAUGGUGGGGGUUGGAAAGUUUCGGCGGUUGGGGAUGGACUCGCGGCUUAUCAGCUUGUUGGUGGGGUAGUGGUUUACCAAGGCUUUGACGGGUAGCCGGCCUGAGAGGGUGACCGGCCACAUUGGGCCUGCGAUACGGCCCAGACUCCUACGGGAGGCAGCAGUGGGGAAUAUUGCACAAUGGGCGGAAGCCUGAUGCAGCAACGCCGCGUGCGUGAUGACGGCCUUCGGGUUGUAAACCGCUUUCGCCUGUGACGAAGCGUGAGUGACGGUAAUGGGUAAAGAAGCACCGGCUAACUACGUG
rnacentral:rRNA from 1 species